rnacentral:rRNA from 1 species
UACGAGGGGGGCGAGCGUUGUUCGGAAUUAUUGGGCGUAAAGGGUGCGUAGGCGGUUCCGCAAGUCCUGUGUGAAAGCCCCGGGCUCAACCUGGGAAUGGCAAUGGAUACUGGCAAGCUAGAGUGCGGUAGAGGGUAGUGGAAUUCCCGGUGUAGCGGUGAAAUGCGUAGAGAUCGGGAGGAACACCAGUGGCGAAGGCGGCUACCUGGACCAGCACUGACACUGAGGCACGAAAGCGUGGGGAGCAAACAGG